rnacentral:rRNA from 1 species
CAGCAACCACGGUAAUACGAAGGGGGCUAGCGUUGCUCGGAAUCACUGGGCGUAAAGGGUGCGUAGGCGGGUCUUUAAGUCAGGGGUGAAAUCCUGGAGCUCAACUCCAGAACUGCCUUUGAUACUGAAGAUCUUGAGUUCGGGAGAGGUGAGUGGAACUGCGAGUGUAGAGGUGAAAUUCGUAGAUAUUCGCAAGAACACCAGUGGCGAAGGCGGCUCACUGGCCCGGUACUGACGCUGAGGCGCGAAAGCGUGGGGAGCAAACAGGAUUAGAUACCCCGGUAGUCCCUGUCUCUUAUAU